UACGGAGGGUGCUAGCGUUGUUCGGAAUCACUGGGCGUAAAGGGCGUGUAGGCGGUCUGUUAAGUCUGAUGUGAAAUCCCCUCGCUCAACGAGGGAACUGCGUCGGAUACUGGCAGACUCGAGUACCGGAGAGGAAGGUGGAAUUCCCGGUGUAGCGGUGAAAUGCGUAGAUAUCAGGAGGAACACCUGCGGUGUAGACGGCUUUCUGGACCAUUGCUGACGCUGAGACACGAAAGCGUGGGUAGCAAACAGG
rnacentral:rRNA from 1 species